UUGCUUUGGCAGCAUGCAUACUCAAAUUGGAAUAAUACAGGGAAAAUUUGCAUGGCCCUUUAAAAAAAAAAAAAAGAACAAGAGCAUGAUUGU
rnacentral:snRNA from 1 species